rnacentral:lncRNA from 1 species
UUUCAUAUUAGGAAAUGGUUGGAGGGUUCACAAAAUUAAUAGGUACAGUGACAUUUUUCUGUUUUUACACAGGAAGUUUUAACAUGAGAACAGUGAGAAACUUCUUCCACUGAGGCUUUCCUGCUUGAAGGAGGGACACAACAAUUUGAUGCUGGUUUGCAACAUUAAACAAAAAGUUUGCUUUUGCCCUUUGUUGAUAAAUGGAUCAAAAGAGGAAUACAAAGUUAUUUAAAAUUGCAGAUGGAGAGAAACCUCCCCAGGGAAAACGUGUUCUGCCAGCAUCUUCUGCAAAAAGAGCUAUCACACUACAAAAAAGGACCUUCCAAAUGAAGGCAAGCAAUGAAGGAGGAAUUAAACUGUCCACCAAGUAGAACAUAUUUGCUGAUCUGUGAGUCCAAGAACGUUGCCUUUACCUCCUGAAGAGCAUAUGGAAAGAAGCCUUAAUUCAUUCCCAGUCUUUAACUGUUGGUGGUAUCAUUGUUUUUCUUUCUGCAUCAUCUGUUUCAAAUCAUCUAUAACCUUAGGUUUUCUAGGAGGUCAAACAGAAACAGACCUUCACUUCUAAGAUGUAAACAUCUACAGUUUGGUCUUUACCACCCAAACCAACUGUAGCUUUGUUUUUAACUUGGAAAAACUACCUUUGAUAGAAAGCUGCCAACUGCUUUUCUAGUAUCAGAGGUUAUAUGGGUUAUGGCUCAGUGGAAACUUGAAAUAAUGAUAUUUCAGUUUUUUAUUCUUUUGCUAGGCCUAUUAGAUGAUCACAUUUUGUUAAUUUAGGCUAAGGUCAGAACUGGAAUAUGAAGCAACGAAUACAAACACCAAACCUCAGAAUUGAUUCUGUAUUUCCAAUCUAAAUGGUCUAAAGACUGAUAGUUUUUCAGCUUUUGCUAGUCAUUCUUCCACACCAAAUGAAGAAAAUAGAUUUGCCAUCUUCUAACUUCUAGACACAGCUGAAAGAAAUGAGAAAAAGCAAAUGUGUGGCAGCUAAGGACCAUUUUUCUCCAUUUGUUUUCAUGGGUCAAAACCAUGAGUACUCUGCAAUUUACAGCUGAAUCAAGAGGAGAAAUCACAGGGAAGACACAUUCUGCUCUAAGUUGCAUCAAGAGCUGAAUAAGAAUUUAAACCAGUUCUCAAAAUAAGCACAGAGCUAAAAUCAGCAUAGUUUUGGCAUGAAAAAUAAAAGGGUAUUUCUUUGCUGCA